GUGCCAGCAGCCGCGGUAAUACAGACGGUCCAAACGUUAUUCGGAAUUACUGGGCUUAAAGAGUUCGUAGGCGGUCAAGAAAGUGGGGUGUGAAAGCCCUCGGCUCAACCGAGGAACUGCGCUCCAAACUACUUGACUUGAGGAGGCUAGAGGUAAGCGGAACUGAUGGUGGAGCGGUGAAAUGCGUUGAUAUCAUCAGGAACACCGGAGGCGAAGGCGGCUUACUGGGGCCUUUCUGACGCUGAGGAACGAAAGCCAGGGGAGCGAACGGGAUUAGAAACCCCGGUAGUCC
rnacentral:rRNA from 1 species